GUGCUUGCUUCGGCAGCACAUAUACUAGAUUUGGAAUGAUACAGAGAAGAUUAGCAUGGCCCUUGUGCAAGGAUGAUACACAAAUUCAUGAAGGGUUUGAUAUAUUU
rnacentral:snRNA from 1 species